rnacentral:rRNA from 1 species
UACGGAGGGUGCAAGCGUUGCUCGGAAUCAUUGGGCGUAAAGCGUACGCAGGCUGUUCGUUAAGUCGGGUGUGAAAGCCCGGGGCUCAACCCCGGAACGGCGCCCGAAACUGGCGAGCUUGAAUGCGGGAGAGGGAAGCGGAAUUCCUGGUGUAGAGGUGAAAUUCGUAGAUAUCGGGAGGAACACCUGUGGCGAAAGCGGCGCACUGGACCACAACUGACGCUGAGGCGCGAAAGCUAGGGGAGCAAACAGG